rnacentral:rRNA from 1 species
GACGUGAGGCGCGAGCGUUUGUCCGGAUUUAUUGGGCGUAAAGAGCUCGUAGGCGGCUUGUUGCGUCAGCUGUGAAAACCGCAGCUCAACUGAUGGCUUGCAGCUGAUACGGGCAGGCUUGAGUUCGGUAGGGGAGACUGGAAUUCCUGGAUGUGAGCGGUGAAAUGACGCAGAUAUCAGGAGGAACGACCGGUGGCGAAGGCGGGUCUCUGGGCCGAUACUGACGCUGAGGAGCGAAAGCGGUGGGGAGCGAAACAGG